CCGAAAAACAGCCCGGAGCCUGCCCACCUUCCUGGGAACGCAAUCCCCUCAGCGGCCGCGAGCGGCCGGGCCGCAGGACGCGGCGCCCGGUCCCGGGCAGGGGCCCUCUGAGGAAGGCGCCCCCCGCAGGCUGGGCGCCCCAAGAGAGCCGGCGGCCGGCCCCGCCUCGGGGAGCUGAGGGGAAGUCCCUCCCCGCCGAGGCCCCCUCCUGCCGGUCCCCACUCACCGCCGGUGUGUCUGGUUCUCAGCCGCGAGCUGGGGCUGCCGUGAGGAGGCGGCGGAGACGAGAUCUGGGGCCCCGCAGCCGGGUCAUCAUACCCCCCGCGCGAGCCGGCCCGGGCCCCGGCCCCCGCCCCCCGGAGCCGUCCCCGCGCCCGUCCCGCAGGGGGAGCCUCCUCAGCCUCCCACCCGCUCCACCACCCAGCCCCUUCCCGCCGCCGCCGCCGCCGCCUCAGCCCCGCGCGCUCCCGCCUCGGCUUCCUGCUGCCGUCCGGGGCUACCGCUGGGCCCCUUGCUCCGCAGCCGCCGUUGUCGCCAGACCCGACGAGCGGAACGCAGAGCGGCAACCCCUCCACCCGGACGGCCCCGCCUCGCCGGAACUAUUCACCCGCCCCGCGCCAUGACACCUACUGAGGCGGAAGUGCAGAUGAAUGGACUCUCUAGGACGACCGCAUAGUACUGAUCGCAGUGGGAGUGGGUGGGCCUCGAGUGGGUAGGCCUCCGUGGGGAGCCAGCGUGGAUCGAGUGCGGGGGCUGGACUUCCCGCCCCCUCCGCACCGUAGACUCCGCGGUGAUUUAAAGGUGCCUGGCAGUGGUAGGGGAUCCAACUGUAAAAUGUCAUCCCAGCUAGUGUGACAUCACCACAGUCUAGUGUGACACCCCCAGAGCCUGGGCAGUGUACAGGAAGACAGUGCCUAGCAGAGGAGCUCCACUGCUGGUGAAGGAUUACCUCAGAAACUUCCUUCUACUACUUAAAGAACUUAAAGUCCUCACAUUGGGCCGACCUGGGAAAUAUGAAGACAAAAAGAGUGGGUAAACAUGCCUGCUUGAUGGGCCAGAAAAAAGGCAGAAACCUGUGGUCUAGGUAUAACAGAUCCUGCUCAAAAUGAAAAGUUGUUCUGGCCCCUCAUCUGGUUUCAUGAUGGACAAUAUCUAGCAUGAGAGUGACAGGGAUUAGAAUAAUGGACAUUUUGGGGACUGCGUUCUAGCAGAAAUGAUGGAAUAGUGGAACAGAAGUUUGGAUGAAGGGGUAUCCUAUGGGAUUAAAGAAGAUUUGAAUACAAGCUUUCCUAAUAAAUGAAAGGGGAGGUGAAACUAGAGCAUGCCGAUGGCUGCACAGCAUUGUGAAUGCACUAAAUGCACUAACUGUCCACUUUAAAAUGUUUAGUAAUAUGUCAAUUUUAUCUAAAUAAAAAAAAAAGGAG